GACUGGUAAAAUCAGGGUUUAGCUUUCAUGACAGCCAAACCCCGAGAGAGGAGACAGGAAGAUAGAGUCUAAAGGAGAAGAGGGGAUAUUUCUUGAUUCACGUAAACUGGAAAGUGUUGCUUCGUCCAGUGAUUGCUGCCUUAUGGUCACAAGAUGGCUUCUGAAGCUUCAGUCAUCUAAGGAUACCUUAUUCAAAUCAGAAGCUGGAGGAAAGAGCCAUGCCUCAGUGUCUGUUCCUUUUUAACAGAUAUUUGAAGAGAAUGGACCUACUGGCAGAGCCUCAUCAUGAUCCUCGUGUUCAGAUUGGAGAAAAAAACAAGUAAACAUUUUCAUUUGCAAAAUUCUGUCUUAAUGAGAUUUAUGCUUAUAAUU